rnacentral:lncRNA from 1 species
CUGCCUUUGAGGGGAGCCUUGAGCCAAGGAGGCCGUAUCUCCAGGAGAAGAGCAUUCCUGCAGAACAAACAGCAAGUACAAAUACCCUGAGGCAGCCGUGGGCCAGGUCACGCCACAGUGAGGCUGGAGCACUAUGAGAAGGGGAGCAGUCAGGUGAGAGGUAAGACAAACCAGAGAGAGGCCAGAUCGUGUGGACUUGGCCUUUUCCUCUGGGUCUGAUGGGAGCCUCUGGAGGAUUUUGAGAGAGGAAGGACAAGUCCGUCUUUAGUUUGUUUUUUUUUUUUUCUUGAGAUGGAGUUUCGCUCUCGUUGCCCAGGCUGGAGUACAAUGGCUCGAUCUCGGCUCACUGCAACCUCCACCUCCUGGGUUCAGGCAAUUCUCCUGCCUCAGCCUCCUGAGUAGCUGGGAUUACAAGCACACGCCACCAUACCCGGCUAAUUUUUGUAUUUUUAGUAGAGACAGGGUUUCACUGUGUUGGUCAGGCUGGUCUCAAACUCCUGACCUCAGGUAAUCCACCUGCCCCGGCCUCCCAAAGUGCUGGGAUUACAGGCAUGAGCCACUACGCCUGGCCCUGUCUUAAGUUUUAACAGGAUCCCUCCAGCUGCCUGAGAAUACACAGAAAUAGGAUGAAGGUAGAAGCAGUAAGACAUAAGAGGUUGUGGUGCUCUUCCGGAUGAGAAGUGCUUAGAUUCUGGAUACAUUUUGAAGGGAAUUUAUCCAACAGAAGUCCAGGAAGAUCAAGGCGGGAGGAUCACUUGAGGCCAGGAGUUUGAGACCAGCCUGGGCAACAGAGCAAGACCCGCAUCUCUAAAAAACAGUAAAAAAUUAGCCAGGCAUGGUGGUGCACACCUGUAGUCUCAAGUACUCAGCGGUAGGACUGCGAGGCUGCAGUGAGCUCUGACUGUACCACUGCACUCCUGCCUGUGUGACAGAAUGACAUACUGUCUCUAAAGCGGAAAAAAACAAAACAAAAAACAGCCCAGGAGCCAGGGAAGACUUUUAACACAUAUUUUGUUGAAUGAAUGAAUGAAGUGAUCCAGGUUUUUGUGUGCAUUUAAUUUCACCUCUAGGUGCUGAUCCAGUUUGUGGUAUAGUGUUCUGGAGGUCCAACGUCAUCUACUUCCUGCCCUUCAGAGGUAUGCUGAUGUUGUGUGUACAUCAACAUCAGCACAGCCUCCUGAAUGAACCUAAAUUCAGUUAACACAAAUUUGCAUUAAAACUAAUAUUAGGCUUUGGAUUAGGUAUCUGAGUUGUUUUGCAUGUUCUCCAUUGCUCACAGAUUUCCUUAUCUCAUUUUUCAGAGUCUUUUGAAAUGGACUCUAAUCUACUAAUUCAUUCCAUUUUGACCACUCUCUUAUGUGAAUUGUUGGAACCAGACUUCUUUGGUCACCAUUUUCUAGAUAUGCAUUCAUAUUUAACGUUGUUGGGCUUCCUAAGUGGUGAUUUGGAAGGCCUUACUGAAUUUUAUUUUCCUCUCAUUCACAGACAGAUUAAAAAAAAAAGCUUUCCAUUUUUAGGCAAAUUCUUAAACUUUAUUAGCCUUAGUUCCUCAUUCUUUUUUGAGACAGGGUCUCGCUCUGUUGCCCAGGCUGGAGCACAGUGGUACCACCAUAGCUUGUGACAGCCUUAAACUCCUGGGCUCAAGUGAUCUCCUGCCUCAGUCUCCCCAAAUAGCUCAAACUACAGUCACCCAACACCAUGCAUGGACUAAGUUUUUAAUUUUUUGUAGAGAGAGGGUCUCACUAUGUUUAAGACCAGCCUUGAACUCCUGGGCUCAUGCGGUCCUCCUGCCUUGGUCUUCCAAAGUGCUGAUAGCACAGACGAGAGCCACUACGCCCAGACUAGUUUCCUCAUUCUUAAAAUGGGAAUAACAGAAUCUAAGAGUUGCCUGCGGUAAAUGAGAUUACACACGUACUUAUCACGUGGGCUUCCAAAUGUCAGCUCUCUGAUGCGCUAGCUGUGCAAUCCUGUGUAAGUCUCCUAAUUUUCAGGUCCCAUUUCCUCUUUUGUGAAACGUGGCCAAGGGAGAAUGGACUUUGCAGUGUUUGUGUUUCAGUCUAAGAUAAUACUGUCUACUUGGGAUUGCAGUCCAGCCACCACUUACCAGCUAUAUGCCCUUGGGCCAUACUUCCUCUGCGCCUCAGCUUGAGCCUAUCAAUGACAUCUAAGAGCUGUUUAUCCAGUCAGGAGUUGCUUGCCACGGCAUAAGAUGUUGGUUCCCUUGAAAAUGCAACCCUAUAGCUUAAUGUCACCCACUGUUAAGAUUUUCCAACACUUGCUUACCAUGUAGCUUUCUUGUGGUGAAACUCUAAAGUUAUUUCCAUUUACCCAAAAGCAAACCUCAGUGUGUACAUAUGGAAUGGCUGGGAUUGAAUUGUGUGAGGAAUACACAGAUUCUUGCCUUGUUUGGAGACCACUUCUGGUGGGUACCCACUAAGGAGUUGCUCCUGGACAGUGUAUUUCUUUUUCCUCCUCCUGGCAGGCAAAUAUGAGUCACAUCUGAGUCUCUUGACAUAUGGGAGUCGAAUCGGGAAGAUAUUCUCUCUCUUGUUAGAAAUCUUUGUUCCUAUUCAAAAUUUAGAAAGAAUAUUUGUCAUGAAUGUGAUAGUAAGUUGUAAAAGGACUCCCAAGGCUCUUGUAAAGGAAAAC